ACGACCGUACCAUGCUGAAUAUACCGGUUCCCGUUAGAUCACCGAAGUCAAGCAUCAUUGGGCGCGGUAUGGGUGACCACCUGGGAG